AUAAUGGGUCAGCGACUUAUAUUCUGUAGCAAGGUUAACCGAAUAGGGGAGCCGAAGGGAAACCGAGUCUUAACUGGGCGUUAAGUUGCAGGGUAUAGACCCGAAACCCGGUGAUCUAGCCAUGGGCAGGUUGAAGGUUGGGUAACACUAACUGGAGGACCGAACCGACUAAUGUUGAAAAAUUAGCGGAUGACUUGUGGCUGGGGGUGAAAGGCCAAUCAAACCGGGAGAUAGCUGGUUCUCCCCGAAAGCUAUUUAGGUAGCGCCUCGUGAAUUCAUCUCCGGGGGUAGAGCACUGUUUCGGCAAGGGGGUCAUCCCGACUUACCAACCCGAUGCAAACUGCGAAUACCGGAGAAUGUUAUCACGGGAGACACACGGCGGGUGCUAACGUCCGUCGUGAAGAGGGAAACAACCCAGACCGCCAGCUAAGGUCCCAAAGUCAUGGUUAAGUGGGAAACGAUGUGGGAAGGCCCAGACAGCCAGGAUGUUGGCUUAGAAGCAGCCAUCAUUUAAAGAAAGCGUAAUAGCUCACUGGUCGAGUCGGCCUGCGCGGAAGAUGUAACGGGGCUAAACCAUGCACCGAAGCUGCGGCAGCGACACUGUGUGUUGUUGGGUAGGGGAGCGUUCUGUAAGCCUGCGAAGGUGUGCUGUGAGGCAUGCUGGAGGUAUCAGAAGUGCGA
rnacentral:rRNA from 1 species